AUACGGAGGACCCGAGCGUUAUCCGGAUUUAUUGGGUUUAAAGGGUGCGUAGGCGGAAAAUAAGUCAGUUGUGAAAGUUUGCGGCUCAACCGUAAAAUUGCAGUUGAUACUGUUUUUCUUGAGUGUACAUAAGGUAGGCGGAAUUCGUGGUGUAGCGGUGAAAUGCUUAGAUAUCACGAAGAACUCCAAUUGCGAAGGCAGCUUACCGGGGUACAACUGACGCUGAGGCACGAAAGCGUGGGGAUC
rnacentral:rRNA from 1 species